rnacentral:rRNA from 1 species
UGUAGUUUCAAUGGUGAGGCAUAUAUGUCAACUAUGGGUGUUGGCUCCAAUAAUUCUCAUUGGUCUCAAACCAAUGAGAUGCAUUUUGAUGAUCAUGAGUUUGAGGUGGACGAAGAUGGGGAGGGCAUCGUCGAUGCACCGAAAGGAAGAGGGGGCAACUACACCAUGGACGAAGACAUCUUGCUAUGCAAUACUUGGUUGCAAGUGUUGAGGGAUCCCUCCAUUGGAAGGGAUCAAAGUAGAGAGAUGCAUAUUGGCUCCGGAUGA